UGUUGCCCAAGGAAUUAAGGAAAUUGAAUGCUAGCAAGCUAGGGCAUGUAAUGUUAUUUGACAGAUAGCGUUGAAGCUCAUGAGAUAAGGAAGGAACUUUGUCUUCAUUUACAAAUUAGACAGGUUAGUAAUAGUAGAUUUUAUUUACCAUCUUUGGCAGAGAAUUAUAGUGGUAUUACAGAUCGAUUAAAAAAGAAUUAAAAAGUUACAACAAAUUUAGACUUUGAUUUUAUAAACUUAUACUAUAUAUAUAUAUAUAUAUAUAUAUAUAGCUAUAAUUCUGUUUAUGACUACUUAGGCUAACUAAAAUAAGAAUUAUUGCCUACAUAUUCAAGUAAGACUAUUUUGCUUAGUGAUAUAUCGGCAACGUUUCUUUCUGCACGAAUGUAUAAUGCGUAUACAGUUAUUUCAAUCAAGGCUGUCACAGUGAAAUGAAUGAUUUAACUAGAACGCUACCUCCAACCGGAAAUUUAAAGCCAAGCUUGAAGGCCAGUCCCAGUCUUGUCACGCGUGCGAUGAGCGCGGUCAAUCCCACCCUCGUCCCCAGGGCCUCUCGGCCGCGCGCGACCUCCCUAGGCCCUGGGCCUGGCCCUGGGACACACGGAACCGGGGGUGCAAGAAAACUUGAAGUAAUUUCUAAAGCGCAUGCUCUUGAAUUGGGACGCUCUAGCGAAGUAUUUUUUCAUAGUGAGUAUUACGAAGAAACGAAGUAUUCGUGUUGAGAUAUGUUGGUAGAAUAAUUAUUCAUAAAUUAGCCAGCCAUAUUGCUUUAUUUUGCUCACGUGAUAAUACUGGAUACCUGGUGAAGUAUAUUGAUCCUGUCCUAGGACUGCAUCCAAAUGAAUUCAGUCCUUAGACGGGAUCAAAAUAAAUUCACCUCACUAUUAGUGGUGAUUUAUUCGUAUGAGAUGUUAUUUCAAAUCCUCCAAUUCGGAUUGGACUAGAUCUCAAGCCCUCGCAUUUUGACCCAGUCCUCGGCUUCGCCUCGGUCUUGAUAAUAUUGCGCGGACUUGAAAUCUAGUGCAGACCUCAUAGUCAUUUGAAAUAUUACGUCUCAGAUUGUACGUUACGAUUACAAUUUGGAAUUUAAAUUGGGAUUGCAAAAACAUAGAUAUUGACUGGAAAUGUUAGUUGAGGAUUCAUUAAUUACAACACCAAUAUAGCUGCAACACUUUGCGUGACUUCCGCAGGCUUUCCUAGUCAUAUCGAAGGCAUACAAUGCAUGCAACGUUUAUUACACUCGGUAAUUAGAGAGACUUGACAGGAAGAGGGAGGGGCUGCCAGACUAGAAGCUAUAUUGGGGAGAUUAGUUUCCGGCUCUUGCAAAUAUUUGAAUUAUUACAACAGACAGCUGAUAUUUUAGGGUUUGAUUCCUGUCAGAGGAUCUAUAGUUGCAUUUUUCACAACUGAUCUAAAAUUGUAUAUAAUCUUCCUUUAGAAAUUUGUUGGUUCUAUCAAGCGAGAUGCCAGCUCUCGAUAUUUAUGAGAUUUUAGACCAUUUGUAUCAGCUUGAACUGUCUUGGCCAGUGUAGGUAAUGUCAAUGAAAUGAACAAGCUUUCGUUGGUAAGGAUGCAACUACCUGAAAAUAUAUAAGGAGAAUUUCGACGUUUCGAGCAGCCCUAACCCUAACUCCAGACGAAGAUCCCUACCAACGAAAGCUUGUUCAUAUGUAUCAGCGUAUGUUUCAUAUGUAAAACGCUGCUUAUAAAACUUACAUUUUUUCUUUUCCCUUUUUUCAGCAGAGAUGCAUGACCUUAACAUCUAAAGGCAGAACAGAAAAAAUAAUUUAAAACGAGAAGUAAAUUGAUACGUUAUUUGUAAAUCAUUAGGUUAAUCAGAUCCCAUAGUAUACCAAAUAUAUACCAUGCAUUAUCCAUAUACAUCCACAUUCCACACCUAAUCUUCCUAGCUCUACCUUACCCUACUCUAACCUUACCUACACCACCAUAUCCUAUCCUAUCAUCCUAAUCUUACCUACCCCACCAGAAUCUUUAUCAUAUCCUGUCAUCCUAUAUCCUAUCAUUGCUGUAUCCUUUUGGAUCCAUAAAUACCCUCUUCCUAUUUAUCUUAUAUCUUAUAUUCCGUUCUAUCCUAAUCUACCCAUCACUACCCUUUAAUAUCCUUUCUUCACUCACUCUAUCCCAUUCUACCCUAUUAUGUCUCAUCGUUUCCAAUCCAGACGUAUCUUGCUUAUCUAAUUCAAAGCAAUUUCUACCCUAUCCAUAACCUUACAGCAUCGUAAUAUUUCUUAAACUGACCUAGAAGUGGUAUCACUAAGUACUAUCGUGUAAGUGGUUAACCAGUAAUUAUCAGAAUAAAAAAAUGUUAAUUGUCUUCAUUAUUACAUUGUUACUAAAUUUUACUUUAGCCUUUAGACUCUGUAGCUCAGUGGUCAGAGCUCUUCUCCAAAAUCAUAGGUCCCUCCAAAAUUAUGGGGUGAGUGAGGUUGUGCUGGUCAACCCUACUUGCAGCUUGGAGUUAAGCUGAGAUGCGAAGACCACAGCUCAAACUGAUUGAGCCAAAGGCUUUCUAAGGGCGCCUUUGGCAGCCACCUUGUGACUCAUGUCUCUGAUCACGGAGCACAGCUACGGUGGUAGGGUCAGCUUGGG